rnacentral:rRNA from 1 species
CCUACGGGUGGCAGCAGUGAGGAAUAUUGGUCAAUGGGCGCGAGCCUGAACCAGCCAAGUAGCGUGAAGGAUGACUGCCCUACGGGUUGUAAACUUCUUUUGUCGGGGAGCAAAAGCCGGACGUGUCCGGCUGUGAGAGUACCCGAAGAAAAAGCAUCGGCUAACUCCGUGCCAGCAGCCGCGGUAAUACGGAGGAUGCGAGCGUUAUCCGGAUUUAUUGGGUUUAAAGGGUGCGCAGGCGGAUUUUUAAGUCAGCGGUAAAAUCGUGGGGCUCAACCCCAUCCAGCCGUUGAAACUGGGGAUCUAGAGUGUGCGAGAGGUAUGCGGAAUGCGUGGUGUAGCGGUGAAAUGCAUAGAUAUCACGCAGAACCCCGAUUGCGAAGGCAGCAUACCGGUGCACAACUGACGCUCAGGCACGAAAGCGUGGGUAUCGAACAGGAUUAGAUACCCUGGUAGUC